rnacentral:rRNA from 1 species
UACGUAGGGGGCAAGCGUUGUCCGGAUUUAUUGGGCGUAAAGGGCGCGUAGGCGGCUUUGUAAGUCCGUUGUGAAAUCUCUCGGCUUAACUGAGAAAUUGCCAUUGAUACUGUAGGGCUUGAGUACAGAUGCCGUUGGCGGAAUAUGACAUGUAGUGGUGAAAUACAUAGAGAUGUCAUAGAACACCGAUUGCGAAGGCAGCUGACGAAACUGUAACUGACACUGAGGCUCGAAAGUGUGGGGAUCAAACAGG